GCAAACUUGGUCAUUUAGAGGAAGUAAAAGUCGUAACAAGGUUUCCGUAGGUGAACCUGCGGAAGGAUCAUUAUUGAAAACUAUUUUAAUAGUUCUCAAACUUAAACCCUUUUGUUUUAAACUUACCAUGUUGCUUCCACUGGACAGGCUAAGCUUAUUAUCAAGCUUAGCCCUCUAGAUUGUGUCUUUGGUACUUUCUGGGGAGCUGCCAGUGGGUAAAAUCUAUAAAAUCUAGUUAUAUGAUCAAUGUCUGAUUUAAAUAUUGAAACAAUACAAAACUUUCAACAACGGAUCUCUAGGCUCUUGCAUCGAUGAAGAACGCAGC
rnacentral:misc_RNA from 1 species